CACCUCCUCCUUCUCUUUCUUCCUCCUGCUCCGGUUAUGUGAAGUGCCACUCUCCCUUUGCCUCCUGCCAUGAUUGUAAGCUUCCUGAGGCAUCCCCAGAAGCCAAGCUAAUGCUGCCAUGCUUCCUGUACAACCUGUGGAACUACCUGUCCUAACACUGAAGGAUCAUAAAAAAUUUGCUUUCACCAAGAAGUUCAGAAACUUUAACAUGGCUGAUGUGAAAAAGUGUUGGGUCUUUCUCUGAAGCUCAAGAAGGAAGGAGAAUUUGAGGAAGGCUGAUCAGAGAAGAGAGGUGAUAAAAUAGAGAGAAAGGUCUCUGGAGAGAUCAGCUACACGGUAGCCAGCUGGGACCUGUGGAGGACAAAGAUCAUUAUGAUAUUCCCUGCAGCAGGAAGCAGCAAAUGAACUGUCAGGCCAGUGAGGUCAGACACCCAAUUAUAAGUUGUCAAACAUAUACACAGUGUCUUUCCAUCA